GGCCUGAUGGCACAGUUUGUAGUGCAUCUGCAGAAGUUUGAAGUUGAUGAUUAUGAUUUCGGCAGAAGACCCCCGUUCGAUUCGGGGUCAGGUCA